rnacentral:rRNA from 1 species
CACACGACUCUCGGCAACGGAUAUCUCGGCUCUCGCAUCGAUGAAGAACGUAGCGAAAUGCGAUACCUGGUGUGAAUUGCAGAAUCCCGCGAACCAUCNAGUCUUUGAACGCAAGUUGCGCCCGAGGCCACUUGGCCGAGGGCACGCCUGCCUGGGCGUCACGA